rnacentral:rRNA from 1 species
AUUGAACGCUGGCGGCAUGCCUUACACAUGCAAGUCGAACGGUAACGCGGGGCAACCUGGCGACGAGUGGCGAACGGGUGAGUAAUGCAUCGGAACGUGCCCAGUAGUGGGGGAUAGCCCGGCGAAAGCCGGAUUAAUACCGCAUACGACCUACGGGUGAAAGGGGGGGAUCGCAAGACCUCUCGCUAUUGGAGCGGCCGAUGUCAGAUUAGGUAGUUGGUGGGGUAAAGGCCUACCAAGCCGACGAUCUGUAGCUGGUCUGAGAGGACGACCAGCCACACUGGGACUGAGACACGGCCCAGACUCCUACGGGAGGCAGCAGUGGGGAGUUUUGGACAAUGGGCGCAAGCCUGAUCCAGCCAUGCCGCGUGCGGGAAGAAGGCCUUCGGGUUGUAAACCGCUUUUGUCAGGGAAGAAACGCGCUGAGUUAAUACCUCGGCGUAAUGACGGUACCUGAAGAAUAAGCACCGGCUAACUACGUGCCAGCAGCCGCAGUAAGAC